rnacentral:rRNA from 1 species
GACGAACGCUGGCGGCGUGCUUAACACAUGCAAGUCGAACGGUGAAGGGACCGGUUUUUGCUGGUUCUGGAUGAGUGGCGAACGGGUGAGUAACACGUGAGUAACCUGCCCCCUUCUUCUGGAUAACCGCAUGAAAGUGUGGCUAAUACGGGAUAUUCUGCGCCUGCUGCAUGGUGGGUGUGGGAAAGAUAUUGUUUCGGUGGGGGAUGGGCUCGCGGCCUAUCAGCUUGUUGGUGGGGUGAUGGCCUACCAAGGCGGUGACGGGUAGCCGGCCUGAGAGGGUGGACGGUCACACUGGGACUGAGACACGGCCCAGACUCCUACGGGAGGCAGCAGUGGGGAAUAUUGCACAAUGGGCGCAAGCCUGAUGCAGCGACGCCGCGUGAGGGAUGGAAGCCUGCGGGUUGUAAACCUCUUUCGCCAGUGAAGCAGGCCUGUCCCUUUUGUGGGUGGGUUGACGGUAGCUGGAUAAGAAGCGCCGGCUAACUACGUG